rnacentral:lncRNA from 1 species
GAGAGCCAGAUGAAGCUCAUGAAAGCAUUUGAAGACGUGAAAUUUAUGGAUUGGAGGUUGAGUGAGUUGGGAUCUCCUUGGGAAGACUCGGGAUGGCGGGAAAUGUGGGCUUAGGAAGCUCAGGUAGAUGAGGGAAAGAAGGCAAUUCAGGCACUUCAAGUCCUUUUGGCACCUCAAGUUUCGGAAUCUCCGGCAAUUCAGGAUUUUUUGGUAGCUCGGGCUUUAAAAUCUCAGGUGCUUUAGGUUUUUUUGGUAGCUCAGGCAAUUCAGGCUUUGGAAUUUGUGGUAGUUCAAGUUUUGGUAACGGUGGUAGUUCAAACUUAGGCAAUCCAGGCUUGGGUAUUUCUGGAACUGCUGCCUCCAAAAGAUGGCGAGCAUCGACCAAAUCGAUGUUAUAGCUCAUUGACGAUAAAGUGAUUAGCAAAAGUGGUAUCAUAACGGAUGGGAGAGAGAAAGACGCCAUGGUUGAACUAUUGGCGAAUAAGACUUUAAGAGAUGCAUGAAAGAUAUAUUGUGUUGUAAUAAUAAGAAUCAAAAGAAAAGGGAUCAAGUGUGUUUGUGCAUUGAUUUUCAUGUGUUACGAGGCUUUUAUAGGUGUGGGGAAGUGUUGAAUAAAGGGUUUAAAUAUUGGGUACGUAUGACUAAAAUAGUAUAACAUAAAUAAAUUAUGCUUGGGUUAGUACUCGGUAAGAAAUUUAUGUCUUCUUAGUUCAUCAACCUCUCACUUCUGCUAACUCCACAUACAUCAUAAUGUACGAUUAUAUAUCAUUGUAUAAUAUGUUAUGUAAGCAAUUAUAUUGUAGUGAAAUCGUUAUAUGGAGGAAUGAUUCUUUAUCUUUUUAUGUAUUCAGAAAAAGGGCAAAUGGCUAAAACAAUAAUCUCUAAAUAAUUUUUUUGUUCAAUACUUUUCCAAAAAAAAAAUUACUAUUAAUAAAGUUCAUGUGGUAAGGAGUAGUCUUUCUAAAGCUCAAAUCUUGGGUUCAAACUUUCAAGUGUGCGUGAAUCUAUAAUAAGAAAAGAAAAAAAAUUAAUAUUAAUAAAUAACUUUCUGGCCAUAUGUCAAAAGACAUCUAAUUGGCAUAAGUUUCACUAAAUUAGAUCUUGUUAAUUAAUAUAGGGAAAUAUAUAUCUCUAUUUUAAUUUAACAGUCAAUCUUUUAGCAUUUGUAGCUUCCCUUUCCAAAAACAGACUUAUACGUAAUUGACUUCCAUUUCCUUGUGGAUGUUAAUACCCAAUUGUCAUCUCUCUUAUUCCCAUCUUUUCCUGUCCAAUUAAUUUAUCAGAUUGUCUUCUCAUUGUAUUUGAAUUCUACAGGAAAGAAGAUUGCACGCUUCAUGAUGAAGAUUUUGUGCCUGAUUAAUUAGCUUGUGGUUGGAUGCAGAACUUGUAUAUUCCAUUCAUACAGACAAUCUAUUGUUGUAUGCGAACGGUAACUACCUUUUUAAUUUUUUUUUUCAAUUAUCAUUAUUUCUCCCAGAUAUAAAGAUAAUAAAGUCCGAUUUUCUUAGUAAAAUCAAAUGAUUAGUCAGAUUAAUACUCGGUCUCCACGCUUUUUGAUGGUUUUGUCAAAGAAAUCUCAAGAAUAUCCAUGCGGAACAAGGAUGUAUGUUUGGGAAGGAGAAAGCAGAGAUAAUCAUCUCAUUAAUUAAGCAUCCAAAGUACCAUGCUAAUUGAUCAUUUUUCUAAACAUAAUUAUUUGAAAGCCAUUUUCUUGAAAUUGGUCAUUUUACUAAAGGGAGUACGAACUUUGAUCUGGGUCAGAAAAUCAACCAGACCCACCUUUAUGGGCCAAACAUUACUCUGCUUUUUCCGCGCUGGGCUUGGGUUGAGUGACCUCGUGGCAUUGCUGUUUGGUGUUUGCAAAAUUUUAGCUGAACCGAAUGUGAAUAUGUGAUGAACGAGGAAGUAUAUAUAGCAACAAACAUUUUUGUACAAACAACAUAUAUUUAUAUGUGUGUGUGUGUUCCAAGGGUUUGCAAGAAAAUAAUAAAUCUGACACACUAAACAUAAAUCAUUGCUCGUUUAAUUUUUUUUUUUUUUUUAACUUAGGUAACAAUAGGCUCAAAGUGUAUUCACGACCAACUGAGCUAUGUUCUAUAAUUUUUGUUGUACAAAUUUAAGUGAAAUAUUAUAAUUAUUUGAAUUUAAAAAUAUGAUAUGGUCUACAAAAUUAUUUGCACAAGUGUUUAUGGAUCUACAAUUAUUAUUAAGUAAUAUCGUAUACACUUAAUAUACUAAUUGAACUGCAGAAGGUAUAGUUUAGCUAUGAAAGUGUGAUUCAUUGAUUCAAUUAAUGGUUAAGAGAUUCUUAAGUUCAAUAAUGAAGGGAAAUAAAAAAAAAACUUUAUUUCUUGUCAUUAUGAAUUAUAAUUAAUAUGAUGAUAUUAUGGAGCAAAUUGUGGGCAUAAAACGUGAACCAACCCCUUCAUUAACAAGGACGCAAGGCAUGUUUCCAUCGUUAGUCAGUCUUCUACACCAACUACUUAAUGUUGUGCGCGGAAUACGGAAUCAAACGCACCAAAUAAUUACAGAAAAAUAAAGGACACAAGAAUUACGUGGUUCAGCAAUAUGCCUACGUCCACGGGAGCAAGAGAAAAAUAAUUGUAUUAUUAAUAAUUAUUUGAGUACAAAUUUGAGUAAAGAAACCUCAUUUUUCUAGAACCCAAAUACAUCUAGUACUCUCACACACUCUCCAAUUGCUCACACUCUUCAAAACUCUCAAAAACUUAAAAACUUAUAAGCUUAACAAAUUUAGGGAUGAUUUCGAAUGAAGAAAUGACUUCAAUUUAUAGGCUUCAAGCUUGCACUAUUCCACCUAAUCCCUUUGCAAUUUGUCAAUCUUCAUCUCUGUCAAUUUGACAAGUUUUGCUAACUUUUCCAUUUUUCUUCAUUUGGUGCAGGAUUGUCAAAUGCCAAAUAUUCUAUAGCUUGCAAUUUUGAAUUUGGAAGCCACUUUAUUGACUAGUGUAUUUAAGGGUAUGAGAGUUCCAAUUUGCGACAACUGAGGAUGCAGAUUAAUUCUGCCCAGUGCUGCAGCACUUGCUGUAACAAUUGGAGUCAACUUGAUGAAAAACAGUCAGCCCAUAAGGAGAGUUUGAUCAUUCAACUACCAUAAUCUAAAUUGAAUCUUAGACACAUUUUAUUUGGUUUAAUUCAUUACAGUACUGUUUACUUUAUUCUCUCACAAUCAUCAAUUACAAUAGAACCCACUCUACAUUUAUUAACUUUGGAUUGAAUUUAGUUGCAUUAUUGUGAUUGCUAUAGCAUUUCAAGUGACAUCAAUCCCUGUGGAGACGAUCUUGAAUAUUCAUCACUUUAUUACUUGCUGUGUACACUUGCACAUUGACAUCAAUAACAUUUGAUUAUAAAAAUAACCAACAAUAGGCUACCACCAUGUCUUUAGUAAGCCAUCCGGGUUUCUUUAUCUCUCUUCUUGGCCUCAUUAUUGCUAUAAAUUAUCAUUAUCUACAUCAUCAAUUGUUUCUUCAUUUUGUGGGACAUCAGAAGAAACAACCUCUUCAACUCUAGGUGUCACCUCCAUAGUUGAACCCUUCUCUGACGUAGAACUAACUGUUACAUAUGGAGUUGCAUCAAACUCCACCCGCUGCAAUACCUCUGUGGUCUUGUUCUCUACUUGUUGAGAACUUGAAGCUUCAUCAAACGUGACAUCUCUGCUACACACAAACUUUUUGUCUUCGAGAUCCCAAAGUUUGAAGCCCUUUACUCCACCUUUGAAUCCCACAAAGAUAGCUUUUCUAGCACGAUGAUCCAAUUUACCAUCUUUGACAUGAUAAUAAGCUGGACACCCGAAUAUACGAAGGGAAUUAUAGUCUUGUGCAUGCUUUCCAGACCACAUUUCCAUAGGAGUUUUACCUUCAAUUGCAGCAGAAGGCAACUGGUUGAUCAAGUGACUUGUAUAGCCACAACUUUAGCCCAAAACUUUUUAUCUAAACCAGCAUUAGGUAACAUGCACCGUACUUUCUCCAGUAAAGUACUAUUCAUACGAUCAGUCACACCGUUCUGUUGCAGAGUAUGUCUCACCGUGAAAUGUCUUUUAAUACCCUCGUUCUGGCAUACUUGCAAGAAUGGAUCAGAAGUAUAUUCACCUUCAUUAUCAUAUCGUAAUACUGUAAUCUUUCUGUCAGUUUGAGUCUCCACCAAUUUCUUCCAUUUCACGAAAAUCUCUAGAACCUCAUCCUUUGCUCGCAUGGUGUACACCCACACACGUCUAGAGAAAUCAUCAAUAAAUGUAACAAAAUAAUGGCUUCCACCAAUUGAUGCAGUCUUGGUUGGUCCACAUACAUCACUGUGAACAUAUUCAAGGAUCUCACGAGUAUCGUGAUUAGCUAUACCAAAUUUGACCAUUGUUUUCUUGUUUAUUACACAAUGCUCACAGAAAUUUAAUUUACAGGUUUUAGUACCUUUUAAGAGUCCGUGCUUCAUCAGAGUUUGCAAAGAUUUUUCUCCAGCAUGUCCCAAUCGUACAUGCAAUAACUUGGUGGUGUCAUUGUGCGCCUCAGCAACAUUUUCUUUAUCAGUUGUACAUUCCUUCAAAUAGUACAGAUUGUGAUGCCGAACCCCUUGCAGAAUCACAAUAGCACCAUGUGUAAACUUCAUUUGUGCCAUCUUCAAUGGUAACCUUGUAGCCUUUAGCUUCCAAAACACCCACAGAAAUUAGAUUUUUCUUUAAAGCUGGAACAAAUCUAACCUUUUUGAGUUCUCUGAUCAUUCCAUCAAAUAUUUUGAGCCAAAUUCUUCCUAUCCUCAUUGUACAACAAGGUUGAUCAUUCCCUAUCACAACUGCACCGGAUUUCAGAUUACAAAAAUUCUUAAACCAUUCCUUAAUAGGACACAAAUGGUAGGUUGCUCCAGUAUCAAGUAUCCACUCGCUCGAACUAGCCACGUAUACUGUAGGAGUAAUACUUCGUGAAUAAUCAGAGUCUCAUCUUUUAGUGUCAUGUUUGCUGCAAUGACCAUUUUCAUGACAAAAGGCACACUCGUCUCGAGCUAUAUUUCUGCUUCUCGAUUUGGAUUGAGAAUUCUUUCCACCACGCUUUUUCUUUUUCUUCAUCGCCCAAUCUCUGCUCACCAAAGCUUUAGACGAUGCUCGUUCAGAAUUUUUAUCAUUAUUCUGAAUCUCCAAGUUAGUCAAUGCUAUGCAAACAUCUUUGAAGACGAACACACUCUUCCCAUAUAUCAAGGUAGCAAGUAAGUUUUCAAAUCUUGAGACAUGAUCGUGCAUUGAUACCCCAGGCUUCAUUCGAAAGUCAUAUACUUGGCUCAUUGCAUGAAGACGAUUUUCAAGACUUUUUAGCAGGUACUUCUUCCCCAAUGAACGCCACAAAGUCAUCACACACUCCUCAUCUUUCACCAAGUAUUUCACCUCCUUGGUUAAACAAGAUCUAAUCUGACCACAGGCUUUCUCGUUCAUACGAUCCCAAAUUUCUUCAUUAUACAAGUGUCUUUUAUUUUUCAGAACAACAUCGAGAUCGAUUUGAAUAAGGGCAUCCAUAACUUUGCGCCUCCAUAUGCCAAAGUUGAUUUUCCAUCAAACUUUUCAACAUCGAUUUUCUGGCCUCCUAUAACAGGUGCUGAAUAGUGAUUUGACAAAUCUCGUCUCUCACUUGAAGUGUCUUCUGAAAUAGUCUUGGUAGAUCUCUCCCCAAUUAUGGAAGUUUCACCUUCUACCAUUUUCUCAACGAACUAUUUCCACUUGAAAAACAGCCUCUAUGAUGUUAAUUUCGCGUGAAUAAAUGCACCAGAAAAGUUUCCAGGAGAUUGGGCAGGAACUCGAUCCCAAUUAAAAACCAAAAUCCUUAGACUCUUAUCGCCUUGUUGACAAAACUUUCAUAAACAUGCAAAAAUACACACUACUUACAAUAGACUAUCUCCCAAGUACAAAUGGCCUCUCCACCGUAUUCGUGAACAGUACCGUAUACGAGAACAAUACCGUAUACAAGAAUAGUAUCGUAUCCCCCAAGUACGAACCGUCAGCUCUGAUACCACUUGUUGUGCGCGGAAUACCGAAUCAAGCGCACCAAAUAAUUACAGAAAAAAAGGACACAAGAAUUACGUGGUUCAGCAAUAUGCCUACGUCCACAGGAGCAAGAGAAAAAUAAUUGUAUUAUUAACAAUUAUUUGAGUAAAGAAACCUCACUUUGCCAGAACCCAAAUACACUCAGUACUCUCACACACACUCUCCAAUUGCUCACACUCUUCAAAACUCACAAAAGCUUAGAAACUUAUAAGCUUAACAAAUUUAGGGAUGCUUUCGAAUGAACAAAUGACUUUGUAAUGAAUCAUAAAAAGCUCAAAUUGUUAUUUCGGUUAAUGAGAAAUUAGAUCUUAAAUCCAUUGAUUUGAAAGAAAAAAUGAAGGGAAAAUUGGUAAAUCCCACAUUGGCAAGGUGACUAAGAAUUAAUGGUGUGUUUACUUCAUGAAAUGGGGAAUGAGAAUUAAACCCAUGUUUACUUGGUAAAAUGUAAUUUGAGAAUAAGAAUAAAAUAUAUGGGUCCCACAUAAUUUGGGAAUAAGGAAUGAGAAUUUCAUUCCCAUGGGGGGUUGGGAAUGAAAAUGAGGGAAUGAGAAUGUAAUAUAUGUUUACUUUUGUAUCCCUCUAAUUUUUUAAUAUUUCCCAAAUUACCCUCAUUCAAAUCACAAUUAAUUUUAUUAUUUUAAAUGUCAUUAAUAAUAAUAAUAAUAAUAAUAAUUUAAUAAUGCUGUACCGUACAUCCGCCUUGGCCGUACAGCAGUGCCUCAUCAGAGUUUGCAAAGAUUUUUNNNNNNNNNNNNNNNNNNNNNNNNNNNNNNNNNNNNNNNNNNNNNNNNNNNNNNNNNNNNNNNNNNNNNNNNNNNNNNNNNNNNNNNNNNNNNNNNNNNNNNNNNNNNNNNNNNNNNNNNNNNNNNNNNNNNNNNNNNNNNNNNNNNNNNNNNNNNNNNNNNNNNNNNNNNNNNNNNNNNNNNNNNNNNNNNNNNNNNNNNNNNNNNNNNNNNNNNNNNNNNNNNNNNNNNNNNNNNNNNNNNNNNNNNNNNNNNNNNNNNNNNNNNNNNNNNNNNNNNNNNNNNNNNNNNNNNNNNNNNNNNNNNNNNNNNNNNNNNNNNNNNNNNNNNNNNNNNNNNNNNNNNNAGGAAUGGGAAUGAGAAUCAAUUUACCAAAAUACCCAUAGUAUUAAUAAUUAAUAAAAAUAAUUAAUUUAUCAUUAUUAACAAUAUUAUCAUUAUUGUUGUUGUUAUUAUUAUUAUUACAUUAUUAUUAUUAUUAAAAAUAAUAAUAACAAUAAUUAAUAAUAACUAAAAUAAUAAAGUUAUUAAAAUAUAAUAAUAAUAAUAAUAAUAAAUGUUAAUAAUGAUAAUAUUAAUAAAAAUAAUAAUAACAACAACAAUAAUGAUAAUUUUGUUAAUAAUGAUAAAUUAAUUAUUUUUAUUAAUUAUUAAUACUAUGGGUAUUUUGGUAAAUUGAUUCUCAUUCCCAUUCCUUAUUCCCAUUUAUUUUGCUAAUUAAACACAUCAAUUGCAUUCCAGCACAUUCCCAUUCCCAUUUAUUUUUGUCAAGUAAACAUUGAAAUCUCAUUUACAUUCCAGCUCAUUCUCAUUCCACCCCAUUCCUAUUCCUUGAAGUAAACGCACCAUAAAGGUUUUAUAGAUAUUUAUACACGUAUUAUAUGCUAGUAAAAGAUACGGUUAAUUUAUGCAAAUUAUAUUAAUCGAAUUGAUUUUCUAGUUUUCUACUUUUCCUCUCAAGAUAGCGGGAUUAUUUGUGGCCAGUCCAGUCUUUAUGUAUUUUCACAUACAAAACAUUAAUUUUAUAUUAUUAUGUUGUUUUAAAAUAUUUAUACUAUAGCUAGUUUAUAUAAUUCAUUUUCAUCUUUGUUGGUCGAUUAGUGUCAUAUUAAAAAGGGAAUUGAUACCUACCCUUAUAAGGUUUGGGGAAAUGAUCAUUUAAACUCCUAAGUUUUCAAUAAGGAAAAUCAAGACCCUUUUUUACUAUAAUACUCUUUGUAGAUAGUGACUAAAAAAUUAACUUUAAUUUUUAAAAAUGAAAAUAUAAUUUAAAUUAUUUAAUUUAUCUAUAGACUAAUAGUAUUAGAAUAUUUAUGAUAUAAGCAGAUAAUUUAUAUUUUUGCAUAUUUAUUUUAAUAUUAUGUUUCUAUUUAUUAAAAAAUUUAGUUUAAUAUAAUGUAAUAUUGUAAAGUAUUAAAAUAUUUUAUUAAAUAUUGAAGUUAUUUUUUUUAUAUACUGAUAUAUUAUAAUUAAAGCUCUACUAAUAUUUACAAUUAGAAAUCAAUCGGGACUCUCUUUAAUAAUUCUAUUAUGGCAGAGUCCGAAGGUCAACCCUCACUUAAUAUUGGACGGAGAUUUAUUCUUUCCCAAAAUUGGAGAGACAAGUAAACUCCUACUAGAAGGGAAGUUGAGUCCUAAUCAUUACUGGAACUCAAACCCAAGCGCUCAAGAAUGGUUGAUAAUGGGUUACGAACCCAUUUGCUAAAUAUCGAAGUUAUUUAAAAUGUAUAUAUUGUUACAUCUAUUUUACUAUUAUAUUUCUAAUUAUUAUAAAACAUUAGAGUUAAAUUUUUUGAGUUACUAGACCAAAAGUUAUUAUAACCAAAAGAGGAUUUUAGUAUCCCUUGUUAAAAUUUUAGGACUCUUCAUAACAAUUUUACCAAAUCAUACGGUGUGGGUCAUUUUUACCAUUAAAUAUUAUUAACAGCUUCAGUCCAAAAAUCAAGUAACAUUUUUAUUUUGGGCACGUGGCUCCUCGCGGUUUGUUGUCGAAUAAAAUUAUAACCGAUUGUGCGGUCAAAGCAAACAAAUAAAUAAGAUUUUUUUUGCCCCCUUUAUGAUUAGACAAACGGUCGUUCUAGUCUAAUAAAUUAUAAACAUUUGUAUUGUAAUGAAUUAUCAAGGAAUGAUGAAUUAUGUUUUCGCAUAAUUCAAAGUUAAGGCGAGUGGCUAAAUAGCACCUCAAACAAAGGUCUCCAAAUGAUUUUAUUCAGUAUUUUUUGAAUGUUUAAAAAAUUUAAUAUAAACAAUUUUCUGUUCACAUGUGUCAUAUGAGGUCUAGUUGACUUAAAGUUUCACUAAUAUUUGUUUUAUAUCUUUUUUACUUUGUUGUACUUUUAGAAGGUAGGGAAAGGGGAUUAAAGUUUAAAAAUAAUAUUUUACCCCGCCUAAGAUUCGAACUCAAGUGGUUAUCUAAAUAAAAUUGUUUGAAAAUUAUUUGACUAGACUCCUUGGAAAUCAUUUGUUAAAUUUUAUAGUUAAAAUAUUGGAAUAAUGAAUAUUACUUAAAUCAGCAUAAUGAUGAAGAAGCAUUAUUUCGUUAAUUUUACUCCUUUGUUUUAAGAUUCAAUCUUCUGUCAAAAUCGUUCCUUUUCUAGAAAAACUUGUAGUUUUAGUUAUAGUAAUUGAUUUUUAUUUCUUAAUGAAUGACAAUAUAUGCAAGUGUGCUUCUCUACUUAUCCCCCUUCGGAAUAGUUUGAGAUUGUAGUCUCUAAAUCUAUUUUUGUCGCGGUGAUGAAAGAAUAAGUCAGAGAAAAAAUUACUAAGUAUUUCGUAAAUAAUGCUAUUCAACUAGAAUGUUACAUGAAUUUCAAAGGUAGUUGUUUGGGAAAUAAAAUAAGGUUAUCAUGAUCUUCUCGAGAUAAAAAAUAAACAAAUGGUUGAUAGGCUACUAGGAGAAAAUUUUGGUGACCUUGAGCAGACCAUCUCAACCAAGUGGUAAUUUUGAUGACCAGGUGCAGACCACCUUGACCAAGUGGUAAUCUUGAUGACUAUGAGUAGAACACCUCGACCAGGUGGUAAUCCUUGAGUCUAUGAGCACCAGGUGGUAAUGUUUUAGGCUAUGAGCAGAUACCUCAACCAGAAUACCAUGAGCAGACUAGAACCAGGUCGAUUGUUCCAAAAACCUCAACCAACCACAAACUGUCAAGCUCCUCCCAGAAAUUCAACUAUAACGUCUACGCACACCCAGCUGCUAUAAUUGCAGCUUAAUAACUACUCUGUAACGGGCGCAUUAACUCAUAAUUAAAGGGGCACAUUAUACCCAACAACGGCAACGCAUUGAAGAUGGUAUGAUAAUCCCGAAUACUUAUAAAAGUGCUGAAAAGUUUAGAGAAUGGUGGACUCUCCUAAACAAUUUUGAUUCGUUUAUUAUAUUUAUAUGAAUUAUUUCUUUAUUAAAAAAUAUCAGAAUUCAUUUAUUUAUUUUAUUUUUUUUUUCUCAAAAAGGUCCAAUUACUGACUUAAGCGUCAGAGGGUUCACGCCGGAAAAACUUCCAGCACCUCUUACCGUUCUUUGUGAUUUCAGGUGUUUGCGAGUUAUCUGCUAGUGAUUGUAAGCCACUUCCCCAACAAAUAAAUUUAAUACUGGUGCAGAUGUCUGUGUUAAGUCGCUAACCGACUCAAUUGGAUUUUGGCAUCAACAGUAGUUUUCAAAAGUGUGGUGAGUUAUAAGUGUAGUUUAUUACAUUUGGUAAUUUUUUUUGUUAACAUGUUGUAAUAAUUAUGACUAAACUGAGCAUAAUAAUGAGGAAAUAUCGUUUUCAAAUAGAUGACUCUGUUAUAUAACCUCUGAAAAUUACUACUGACCAUUCUAAUAGCAUUCCCAAGUUGGCCUUUCAAUCAUAGGAAAUUAUUAAAAUAGACUGCAUGGUUUAACUAAAAUCAGUGGAUUAGAUUUUGUUUAUUUAUUAUUUAUCAUCAUCAUAAUCAUUUUAAAACUUUAGACAAGUUGACAGGGUUAUAGUUCAUUUUAUGCAUACUUGUCAAUGUCGCUGCGGCGCUGAUGUUUGUUUAGGGCUUUCUAUCUUCAAUAUGGUGGAACGUUGAACCAUGCAGAGCUAUGGAAUGCCUCUCUUUAUUUUGCUAUGUAUUUUCAACUGUCAUGAAACUGAAGAUUAACUGUAAUAUAUGUGAUAAAGCAAAAUAUGUAUAAGCCACAUAUAAAAUCAACAACCUCAAAUCAAAUUACGAAACAUAAAAUGUAAUAUAUUAAACUCCAUAUGAUACAUAAAAAUGAUCAUAGCAGUACUCCUACGGAGCCACGCUCAUCACGAGUCGUAUCCUAAAGUUAAAAAUAAUAAUAAUAAAAAAUCCUCCAAUGGGAAAAACACAGAUAGUAUCAAAACAAGAACCCACGAAUAUAAUUUAUUAAUAUACUUCUACAGACAACCAGAUGAAGCUCCUGAAAGCAUUUGAUGACGAUAAAAUUUAAGGAUUGGUGGUUGAGUGCACUACUACAAAAAUGAGUUUUACUAACACCAACUUAGUGUCAGUAAUCACUUUUACUGACACUUAUUAAUUGUGUCAAUAAUGCUCAAGCCAGAACGCACUGAUACUAAUUUUUAAUGUCAGUGAUUUUGGUGUCAGUAAUUCGUGUCAUUAUAGUAUCACAAAAAUAAUGACACUAUAGUAUUAAUAUUUGAUAAUAUUAUUUUACAUGUCAAUAAUUCGUGUCACUAUAGUAUCGCCAAAACAGUAACACUAUAGUGUUACUAUUUAAUGAUACAAUUUACAUGUCAAUUUCAUUUUUUCCUCAUCUGCAAGUACAUAAAAUCAAUUAGUACACCAAAAUAUCAAUUAUUAUAAUUAUAGCUCCAAUAAUAAAUUCAUAAUUCUGGAAAAAUCACUUACAGCUCCUGUAAUCAACAAGUCCUAUAAAUCAAUGGAUUCCUAUAAAGUGAAAUAAUUUUUCCAGUACACUUAUAUUUAACAAUAUUAACCAUAGCUAUAAAAACUACUAGAGGCCAUGAAUAGUCAACACAAAAUAUAUUGGACUCAACAAUUAUAUUUCUAAAAACUAAAAUGGAUUAUAUACAUAUACAACCAAUAUUGAAAUAAAAUAUUAGAAACUGCAUCAUUACUCUUCCAAUUUAAUAGUCUAGCGACCAAACGCUAAUUAUUUCGAACGCUUUCACAUUGUCAAUGUAGUGGUAAUUUAAGCUUAUUUUAAUAUUUUAAGUAAGGUCUGUUUAUCUAAUUCAAUGGAUUUGGUCGUCUAUGGCAUGCCAAGACUAAAUUAUUAAUCAUGAAUUCAGUUUGAUAAGUAUCACAAUUUCAUAGAACUACUCUAGCAAAUAUUUUAUUCAAAUUUAUGCAAGAAAUAAAUAUAAUACAUGUAAACUCAGUAUUUUGUUCUUAUAUGAAAAACUUAUAAAUUAAUAAUAACGUAUGUAUUAAUUUGCAAACAUUCCACUCACAAUUAAUCUUGAUCAAUCCUAAAUCGCUGGAAUGUCUUCUAAUUGAUCAGCAACUGAUAGUCCUCCUAUAAAUUAGAGAAAUAUUUAUAAGAAACUGUGCAAUCUUUAAAAAAAAAAAAGGUAAAUUCAAAACUGUAUAUAAAGACAAUCCAUAUUUAUUAACUCUCUAUAUCAAAUUAAUAUGUAUCUAUCAUCUGCAUGUUUUUAGGGAUUCUUUCCAUAUUUUACAACUUUAGCUUAAAGAUAAUUAAACAAAGAUGAAUUUAUAGUUUCAUCCACUAUUUUGUCAAUCCCUCUUUUAAAUAAAUAAAUAAAGUAUAUAAAGUAAGCUAAAGUAAUAGCCAAGAUUAAAGUCAAUGAGGAAAUUCUUUCAAGCUUUAUAAAUAAAUAAAUAUACUAUAUUGUAAUCCAGCUUUAAAAUUAGGCAUGCACGACACCAGCAAUUGGUGCACCAUAUUACGUAAUAAAUAAAUAAAAUUAAAUUUAAACAGGACAUUGGCAGUUCUAGAAAGUAGCCAUAUGCUUUAGCAUGGUAGGGGCUUUGCUAAAUUUUAAGAUGCAUAUUUCUUUCAAUUAUGUUUCCCUCAUUGCAAAUUGUCUCUAGAAAUAUAAUCUGUCACAAGAAUUAAAGAUAUAUGACAAGUGCUUUCUAGAACAUCCUGUGAAAAGUAUUAUAAUAAAAAUAUAAUAAAAAUUAGUAGAAACACUUGAAAAUUAAGAAAAAUUAUUAGAAGCCUCUUAUCCUUUUCAUACCAUCCAGGCUUCCAAUUUAGAGAUUCCCACAUAUAGACUGGCCAUUACUCUGCCUUUUUUGUUCUCACAUGAAUCACUUCUCUUGACUUCUCCACCACUCUAUCAUCAUUUCUCUUUCUUUUUUCUCCAUUCAAUCCUUGCAUACCAACUCCCAAAAUCAGCACAAAAACUUAAUAAUUUUAUUAUGAUUUUUACAUUUGCACAAAAUAAAUGAUUCAACAUGAAAAAGAUAGAAAUAAAUAACUAAAUAAAAGAAAGACCAAUUAACCUUAUUAUUUUCACUUAACAACCCAAUUUCGGAAGCCUGAGGUGGAGACAAAUUCAUAAAACUUUCAACAGUAAGCCUCACUGCCUUCUUUCUACUUCUGUUAUCAUGGCUAAUAUUUAUUUUUAUAUGAACAUAAUAUAUAUAGAAAACAACCACAUACAUGCUUAAUACAUAGUAGCCUACCCAUGUAAAGGCCAGUAAGAAAACACAUACAAUAUUAUAAAGAGCCAGAUAGUUACAAGAUGAUAUUAAAAAUUUGAUGUAUAGUGGAAAUAAGAGCUUGUUAAGAAACAAUGCAAACUCCUUGACAGUAUGACAACAUUUAUUGAUCCUAAUAAUCAGCUUUCCAGGAAUUCAACUAUCAGACCUUACAUUCCUAAGUUUUUUUCUGAUCUUAUUUCAACACAAAUUCUAGCAAAUUUGUACAUGCAUUCAUGCGCAAUAACACUUGUCAAAUCAAAUUUAAACAUCCUACUAAGAAGUAAAACAUGCAUUUGUGUGGUCAAGGACUUUAACCAUUCUCUGUUAAAAAAAUCAAUGAAACUCUUAGUCUCUUUAGUUUGAUUAAAAAUUAAACAAAUGAAGAUUAGUUCCUAGUAGAGGUUCUGUACUGCUAUUGUGAAGCAGAGGAAAGAGAAACGUUUGAUAGAAAAUACUGGGAGAGUGAGUGGGGGAAGGAAUUGGGCUGUCAGUAGAAAGAGCCCUGUGAGGAUGAUGCUUAUGAACAUCAAGAAGUUGCAGCCCCACUAAUCUUCUACUUUGAAGCUCGAGGACUUGUUGCAAAUAAGCUUGCUCCUCUAUUUUUCCCCUUCACAACAUGUUCUGAGUAUUAUUAUUGAACAUUCUUGCGUUACAAAGACCAACAAAAGCCAGAAAUUAAAGAAAAUUCAAUUUGGUAUUGGAAUGAAAUGAAUGAAAAUGAGUUUUUUUUUUCUUUUGGUUUCUUAAUUCUUACCAAGUGGAAGGUCAGAAGGCUCUCUUGAAUCAAGCCUAGUUAGGGUUUCACAAGGAGAAAACUCCCCUUUUUCAAUUUGUUGCUAUUGCUUCAUGUAAAUAAAUAUCAAAGUAUCUUCUUUUUAUUUUUUAAAAUAAAAAAUAAAACAAAGUUACCAGAAUCAAGCAUUGCAGCAGCCACAACUCUUUGAGUAGGUUCAGCUAUCAAUUGGACUUCGCCAUUGGAGUUGCGAAGUAGGACUAUGCUGCCAUCUACAGAGAACUGCAGAGCAGCAUCGAAUGAGACCACGAGUCUUCGCAUCAAGCAAUCCAUACAAUUGUUUUAUUUGCUAGGUUGCUGCUGUCAAUGAGCCAUAUUCCAACCUUGAAGCCAUUGCCACUGGUGUAAAAUCCGAAAGCAAAAUGGCCAAAAGGAGAAGGCCAAAAAUUUGGAGAUGAGUUUGUGUAAAGGGUGGAAAUAAAAAAGAAACUCAAAAAUUUUGAAUAACCAGAAAUGAAAUUCAAAGGAAAAAUGAAAAGUACAAAGAUUGAAGAGAGCAAAGUGCCUGUACUAGUAUGAAACUUUUCUCUCAGCAGUUUCAGUGCCUAUAAUGCCACUUACCCAUGCCUAAAAGAAGAUUGAAUUACACCUUUUACCUUGUACGGUUGACGACAGCAAAUGAAGCUGGAAGGAGAACGAAACCAGAGGCAGCAAACAAAGCAAAUGGAGAACGGCUAGAAGCUGCAACGUCGGUACGUUGGAACGGAAGUGAUAGCAGCGGCGGGGAGGGCGUGGGCGUUUCGUAGCAGCGACAACAUGGUCAUUCUCCGUCUUUCACGAUAGAGAAGAAGAAGUCAAGCAAGGGAAGGGAAAUUAGGCAGCUGCGAGGCCAAGGCGGAUGUACGGUACAGCAGUUGAAGAACAAGCCCAAAUUCUCUAUCCUAUCAAAUAAAAUUCUAACGCGAAAUAAAGAAAAAUGAUAGGUAAAAAUUAGUGCUCUAAAAGUGAGUGGAGAAUUGAUUCUUCUUCCCUUACUUUAUAAAGAGAUGGUGCUAAUAAUAAUAUACUUAAACAAAGUUGUAGUAGGGAAUAAACACAGCAUGCUAAAGCCUAAUAAUAACUAAUAAUGGGAAGGGAUGCAGCCUGCCGUAGCAUGAAAUUGAAAUCAGCCUACUGCUGUACCGUACAUCCGCCUUGGCCGUACAGCAGAGUUGCUAAAAGCUGCUGUCAAUGAGCCAUAUUCCAACCUUGAAGCCAUUGCCACUGGUGUAAAAUCCGAAAGCAAAAUGGCCAAAAGGAGAAGGCCAAAAAUUUGGAGAUGAGUUUGUGUAAAGGGUGGAAAUAAAAAAGAAACUCAAAAAUUUUGAAUAACCAGAAAUGAAAUUCAAAGGAAAAAUGAAAAGUACAAAGAUUGAAGAGAGCAAAGUGCCUGUACUAGUAUGAAACUUUUCUCUCAGCAGUUUCAGUGCCUAUAAUGCCACUUACCCAUGCCUAAAAGAAGAUUGAAUUACACCUUUUACCUUGUACGGUUGACGACAGCAAAUGAAGCUGGAAGGAGAACGAAACCAGAGGCAGCAAACAAAGUAAAUGGAGAACGGCUAGAAGCUGCAGCGUCGGUACGUUGGAACGGAAGUGAUAGCGGCAACGGGGAGGGCGUGGGCGUUUCGUAGCAGCGACAACAUGGUCAUUCUCCGUCUUUCACGAUAGAGAAGAAGAAGUCAAGCAAGGGAAGGGAAAUUAGGCGGCUGCGGCGCGGGCUCUCUUGCACAAUAAAGAAGGGGAAUUAGGGUUUUGUUUUUUAUAUGUUAAGUUUUUAUAUAACAUUAUGUCUUUAACUUAAAUCUACAUGGUUAAGUGGUUUGUGGCUAUAUCUAGAACUUUUAGAGUUUUAGAAGUUCCAAGUUCGAGUUGAAAUCAAAACAAAUUAUAAUUAUUUUUUUUAAUCUCUGAUACAUUAGUAUCAGUGAUCUCUGAUAUUUAGUUUACUGACACACUAAUAUCAAUAAUUUGUGACACCUAUUUGUUAAAAGCGGAAAAUGGUGCAUAGUUAAGUAAUUACUGACACUUUUUUUAAAGUGUCAGAAGCAAAGUGUCAGUGAAAGUCAUUUUUUUAGUAGUGGUGAGUUGGGAUCUCCUUUGGAAUAUUCGGGAUGGCGGGAAAUGUGGGCUUAAGAAGCUCAGGUAGAUGAGGGAAAGAAGGCAAUCCAUGCACCUUGGGCAAUUCAGGCACUUUGGGCAACUCAGGCUUUGGAAGUUCAGGUACUUCGGGCUCUUUUGGCAUCUCAGGCACUUUGGGCAACUCAGGCUUUGGAAGUUCAGGUACUCAAGCUCUUUUGGCACCUCAGGUUUCAAAAUAUCUGGCAAUUCAGGUUCUUUUGGCAACUCAGGCUUUGGAAUCUCAGGUAAUUCAGGUUUCUUCGGUAGUUCUGGCUUUGGAAUCUCUGGUAAUUCAGGUUUUUUAGGUAGCUCAGGCUUUGGAAUCUCAAGUAAUUGUUAGAGUGCAAUUUAUGCACUAGUUUUGCAUUGUUUACUUCCUUUAAUAUUGAUGUUUUGCACUUAAUAAUAGUGAUUUACUUGUGUUUUAUUUAUGUAGGUGCAAUUCUAUUGAUUGAUGCUAAAAUUUAGCUUCAGAAGAACUUUGUUGAUAAGGCGUGGGCGCGUGCUGUCAACUACGGACCUGCAGUUUUUAGUUUAAUGUGUUUUAUCUUUUUGGUUAUUUUUGUAAUUACGAAUUUAAUAUUUAGAUAAUAUUUUAGAUAUUAGUAUUUUAUUUUAAAAAGAACUCUAGACGAGAAGAGAGAGGAAAGAAUUUAAGAGAGGAAUCUAUUAGAAAAAAAGGGAGAUUUUUGAAGAAAAAGAAACCCUAAAUCUAAAAUUUUCUCUUCUCUCUAAGAAGAACUAAAUUUAUUAUUCUGGUUUGAUAAUGAAGCUUUGAUUCAUCACUACUGUAAGAUCUUUCUUAUGCUUUAAUUGUUUUAUUACUUUUUGGGUAUUUAUUUAUUCUCUGAAUUAUUAUCAUGAUUAUGUUUGUUAAUUAGAUAAUUGGCCACUAUUUAAUUAUCAACUUAAUAUAUUGUCAAUUAAAUGAUUCGUAUGAAACUAAUAUCAAUAAUUUGUGACACCUAUUUGUUAAAAGCGGAAAAUGGUGCAUAGUUAAGUAAUUACUGACACUUUUUUUAAAGUGUCAGAAGCAAAGUGUCAGUGAAAGUCAUUUUUUUAGUAGUGGUGAGUUGGGAUCUCCUUUGGAAUAUUCGGGAUGGCGGGAAAUGUGGGCUUAAGAAGCUCAGGUAGAUGAGGGAAAGAAGGCAAUCCAUGCACCUUGGGCAAUUCAGGCACUUUGGGCAACUCAGGCUUUGGAAGUUCAGGUACUUCGGGCUCUUUUGGCAUCUCAGGCACUUUGGGCAACUCAGGCUUUGGAAGUUCAGGUACUCAAGCUCUUUUGGCACCUCAGGUUUCAAAAUAUCUGGCAAUUCAGGUUCUUUUGGCAACUCAGGCUUUGGAAUCUCAGGUAAUUCAGGUUUCUUCGGUAGUUCUGGCUUUGGAAUCUCUGGUAAUUCAGGUUUUUUAGGUAGCUCAGGCUUUGGAAUCUCAAGUAAUUGUUAGAGUGCAAUUUAUGCACUAGUUUUGCAUUGUUUACUUCCUUUAAUAUUGAUGUUUUGCACUUAAUAAUAGUGAUUUACUUGUGUUUUAUUUAUGUAGGUGCAAUUCUAUUGAUUGAUGCUAAAAUUUAGCUUCAGAAGAACUUUGUUGAUAAGGCGUGGGCGCGUGCUGUCAACUACGGACCUGCAGUUUUUAGUUUAAUGUGUUUUAUCUUUUUGGUUAUUUUUGUAAUUACGAAUUUAAUAUUUAGAUAAUAUUUUAGAUAUUAGUAUUUUAUUUUAAAAAGAACUCUAGACGAGAAGAGAGAGGAAAGAAUUUAAGAGAGGAAUCUAUUAGAAAAAAAGGGAGAUUUUUGAAGAAAAAGAAACCCUAAAUCUAAAAUUUUCUCUUCUCUCUAAGAAGAACUAAAUUUAUUAUUCUGGUUUAAGGUUAAUGAAGCUUUGAUUCAUCACUAUUGUGAGAUCUUUCUUAUGCUUUAAUUGUUUUAUUACUUUUUGGGUAUUUAUUUAUUCUCUGAAUUAUUAUCAUGAUUAUGUUUGUUAAUUAGAUAAUUGGCCACUAUUUAAUUAUCAACUUAAUAUAUUGUCAAUUAAAUGAUUCGUAUGAAAACUUUAAUGUUUGUGACAAAUAGCAUAGCAGUGCGUUGUGUUAUGAGAAUAAACAAUCUAAUUUAAAUGAACCAUCGUAUGCGUUUGUUGAUUAGGAUUUGGGUCUCUCUGGUUUUUCAGGCUGUCAAUUGAUUAAAUCCUAUGAUCGUAUCUAGGGUUGCACUACUAGAAAAAUGGUCUUUACUGACUUUAGAAUAGUGUCAGAAAUUACUUUUACUGACACUUAUUAAUUGUGUCAGUAAUCUGGGAGUCAGAAAAAUAGUGACACUUGUAAGUGGUGUCAGUGAUUACUAUUACUAUAGUAUCACUAAAAUAAUAACACCAUGGUAUCAAAAUAUUACAAUACUAUAUUAGUAUUUGUGAUUACUGUUACUAUAGUAUCACUACUUUAUUUAUUAUUUAAAAAAAUAAUUAUAUAAAAUGACAUGUUGCCCAUUGAUUUGUUGAUAGAAUUAAAAGGCUGUGAAAAAUAAGAACAAAAAUCAAUUUAUAUAUCAAAACCUUUCAUAACAUUUAAAUAUUAUCAAUAUAUAUUACACAAUCCAAAUACUUCAAUACACAAAGACGUCUGAUUACAAGACAAGUUAUUCUUAUAAUUGAAUAAUCUUAACUGCUAUUAUCCAAUCAAUUUGAUAAUGAUACUUCUCUAGAAAAUAUCUUCAUAGUAUAUGACUAAUUACCGAAUUCUGUCCACGGGAUAAGGCAUCUUGAGCAAUGAGCCAUAUCAAAUGAAUUUGAGGGGAAAGGUAGGCGCUGUGUGGAAAUGAUGCCAAGAAUUGCGGGAAUUCCACGUUCCAAUGCAAAUUGAACUUGAGCUUCAUGAUUAUCUCUUGGUGCAAGAGAAACCGUUAAAAUUCCACGAUCUAAUAAAUCACCUCCCCAGCUAGCAACCUAUAUAAAAAAAUGUAAGUGAGUUAAAUUUAUCCUAAGAUGACCAAGAGGCACCAUAAGAAUAAACCAUCAAUGCAACAUAGAUUAGCCCAGUAUAUGAUUAGAUGAAAAAGUGGGCAAAUGGAAAACAAAACUCACCCCACAUCCAGUGUCAAUAGCAGUUCGAACUGUCCCAUCUUUCAUUUCUGGAAUCAGAUCUCGCAUCAAAUCAACAUAUGCACCAACUCCUUUGGGAAACAUUGUACCUCCACCAGGAAAGAGGAACUUCUCUCCUUGUUUUCUCAGCCAAUUCUGAUUUGACUUCUGCUUGUUAAUCCAAUCAUAAGGCACAUUCCUGAAACUAGAUCCAAAUAAUAGAACAAAAUUGACUUACGGCCAACAUCAGUGGACAAUAAAACCAGUUCAUUAAUAGAUCAUAAUACCUGUACCAACAUUCAUCCCUGCUUUUUGGCCACUUGAUAGGUGGCUUAUACCCAUUAGGAGGGGGUAUUAAGCAUUCCUUCCUCUCAAAAACUGGAGGACAGUGGCGUUCCAUGAAAGUCAGCCGAUGAGCACCGUACUUUUUCCACCUCUGUAGCAAUGAAUGUUUGCCAUCAAUAUGGCCACUUGAUAUCAUAUAGCUUUGUAACAUUGCCUAGAAGCUGUUACUAUUAUCAAAUAAGCAUUUAAGGUAUACCUUUGGAUCUGUGCAUGGAGUGUAGUCUUGAUAGUUGCUGCUGCAUUCAGGGAAGUUAACAGAUUUGAUCUGAAGCGGAGCAACCACUGGAUCCUUGGGAGACAGGACUGCUUUCUGGACAUCCCUAAUCUCGACUCUAUUUUUCUCAGAACAAAAGAUUCCACCAAGGUAAAACGAAAACCCACGUAGUGCAACAAACAAUACUGUCAAAGGAACAAUCCUGGGACUUUUAUCACCAUUUGGAGAAAUCGGUUUCUUAUCUUUAUGCUUCAUUUUUUCAGAAACAAUUAAUUACCUGCAUUGAUAAUAGUAAAAAAAAAUUUAGUCACAGCUAAGUGAGAUUAAAUUUUUAGCUCAAUGAACAAACACGUAAAGAAACAUCUCCAAGAUCCCAACUAUGGAAAUAAAUACAUUCCAUGCUCCAGUUUCGAUUCCUCCAUUGUCUAAGAUAUUAAACUAAGCAUCAUAAAGCAGAAUNNNNNNNNNNNNNNNNNNNNNNNNNNNNNNNNNNNNNNNNNNNNNNNNNNNNNNNNNNNNNNNNNNNNNNNNNNNNNNNNNNNNNNNNNNNNNNNNNNNNNNNNNNNNNNNNNNNNNNNNNNNNNNNNNNNNNNNNNNNNNNNNNNNNNNNNNNNNNNNNNNNNNNNNNNNNNNNNNNNNNNNNNNNNNNNNNNNNNNNNNNNNNNNNNNNNNNNNNNNNNNNNNNNNNNNNNNNNNNNNNNNNNNNNNNNNNNNNNNNNNNNNNNNNNNNNNNNNNNNNNNNNNNNNNNNNNNNNNNNNNNNNNNNNNNNNNNNNNNNNNNNNNNNNNNNNNNNNNNNNNNNNNNNNNNNNNNNNNNNNNNNNNNNNNNNNNNNNNNNNNNNNNNNNNNNNNNNNNNNNNNNNNNNNNNNNNNNNNNNNNNNNNNNNNNNNNNNNNNNNNNNNNNNNNNNNNNNNNNNNNNNNNNNNNNNNNNNNNNNNNNNNNNNNNNNNNNNNNNNNNNNNNNNNNNNNNNNNNNNNNNNNNNNNNNNNNNNNNNNNNNNNNNNNNNNNNNNNNNNNNNNNNNNNNNNNNNNNNNNNNNNNNNNNNNNNNNNNNNNNNNNNNNNNNNNNNNNNNNNGACGGCUGAGGUAGAUCAUUGUUAUAGAGAGAGAGAGAGAGAGAGAGAGAGAGAGAAGGAAGGAAGAGAGCUUCAGUUCAUAGCAAGAAGCGGCCGUGGGGAAUUUUUUUUCACUUCUUAAAAAUUUUAGAUUUUAGGUUUUCAUGUACACCUUCCAUUAAAACGACAUAGUAUCUAGGUAAUUUAAUUUAAUUUUUAAUAUUAUUUACUUAUUAAGCCAAAAAUCAAAAUCCAACUCAUGGCCCAGUGGUUAAUGUUUAAAAUUAAAAAGUUAAAGUUUAGAGGUCUUUAGUUCGAUUCCUAAUGGACACAAAAUUAAAAUUUUAUUUUUCUAAUUACUAAUACCUUAUUGUCACAUAUCUCUGAUAUUUAAUUUACAGACACUAUAGUAUCACAAAUUUGUGAUAUUUAUUUGUCAAACACGGAAAAUGCCCGAAAUGCAUGUAAUUACUGAUACUUUUUAAUAAAGUAUCACAAGACAAGUGUCAGUAAAGGUUAUUUUUCUAGUAGUGUUGUCUAUUGCUUAGGAAAAUAACCAACGGUCGUACCUUGGUUAUCGACUAGUUAAGGAGAGAUUGACUAUUAGAGGGUCUCAGUAGCUAUAACCGGUCUAUUCAUAAGUAGUAAUAAUUUAUAUUUGAAUCAAGGAUCAGUAGUCAAAUCAAGCUGAGUUAAUUCCUUCAACCAGAGCUUUCCCCAAUUUGAAUUACAAUUUGAAUUUGUGAUCUUGUUAUUUUAAUUUGAUUUUUAUUAUUGUCAACAAUUCCCCCAUUUUGCAUUUUAUAUUUUAAAAGGAUUUAAAUAAUUACCGAUCUCUGUGGACACGACCCUACUCAAUCACUAUACACAAUUUAUUUAGAGUAAGUAUUUAUUUUUGUUGGUUUCAACAACCAUCAAUAAUUCAGGCUUUGGAAUUUGUGGUAGUUCAGGUUUUGGUAACAGGCUUGGGUAUUUCUGGAACUGUUGCCUCUAGAAGAUGGCGAGCAGCGAUCAAAUCAAUGUUAAAGCUCAUUGACGAUAAAGCGAUUAACAAAAGUGGUAGCACAACGGAUGAGAAAGAGAAGGAUGCCAUGGUUGAACUAUUGCCGAAUAAGGCUAUAAGAGAUGAAACAUAUAUUGUGUUGCGGUAAUAACAAUCAAAAGAGAAGGGAUCAAAUGUGUUUAUGCAUUGAUUUCAUGUGUUAUGAGGCUUUUAUAGGUGUGGCGAAGCGUAGAAUAGAGGGUUUCAAGAUUGGGUAGGUAUGACUAAAAUAGUAAAAUAUAAAUAAAUUAAGCUUGGGUUGGUACUUGGUAAGAAAUUUAUGUCUUGUUAGUUCAUCAACCUCUCACUUCUGCUAAUUCCACGUACGUCAUAACGAUUAUAUAUCAUUGUAUAAUAUGUUAUAUAAGCAAUUAUAUUGCAAUUAAUUGUUAUAUUAAGGGAUUAUUCAUUAUCUUUUCAUAUAUGCCCUGUGAAAAAAAAGAAGGUAAAUGGUUAAAAUAAUAACCUCUGAAUGAUUAUUUAUUCAAUACUUUUCUGCAAAUUAUUUAAGAUUAUUGAAGCUAGUUCCUAUGGUAAGGAACGGCCUUUCUAAGGCUCAAACCUUGAGUUCGAAUUUUAAUGUAUGCCUGAGUUAAUAAUAAAAAAAAAUUAACAUUAUUUUAUAACUUUGGGGUCAUAUAUGUCAUAAAACACCUAAUGACAUAAGCUUCCCUUCUCGAAAACAAACUAAUACGUAAUUGAAUUUCAUUUCCUAAUGGAUGUUAACAGCGACAUGCCGUUUCUCUUAUUCCCAUCUUUUCCACUUCAAUUAAUUUAUCAGAUUGUCUUCUUCUUGUAUUUGAGUGCCUGAUUAACUAGUUGUUGUGGUUGGAAGCAUAUGUUAUCCAUUAUGCAUUGAAUAUUUUCAAACGUUGUGGUUGGUCAAAUGUGUUUCAUCAAUAUUAAUCAUAAACAAGUCAAAAGGAUAUUUACGUACGAAUUCUUUUGUUUAGUUAUGUGAUAUUGUGUUAAAAAAAUGGAGAUCAACGUCGUGUCAUUUGAUGAUAUUUUAUAUAAGAUCUCAGUUUGUUGGCCACAAUUUUGAAUGAAGCUUGACCAAAUGACAUCCUUUAGUAUAUAGCUAAACUGCAAUCAACUGUACAAUUAAAUAUUAGGACUUGGGACACCGUCUUUUCGCCAAUAAUCUUAACGAAUUAUGUAAAAGUCAAUUAUCAAUUUAUAUUUACUCAGGUAAAAGUGUUGAACAUGUGCAUGUAUGUGGCAAACAAUUGCAUGUGGUUAGCAUGCAACUUUUGACUUUUCUCAUAAAAUUGUUGAGUAAGAGGGAGACAUGAGUAAGUGAGAGGAAUAUAACUUUUGACUUUGGCACCAAAGUAGAAGGUUGAGAGAAAUUUUAUAUUAUUUUAAUGCCCACAUUUUUAGGCAUUGCUUGGCCUAUAAAUAGAGGCAUCAUUUGCCCUCUUGAAUUAUCUCAUUUUCUCUAGUUCGAGUGAGAGUGCCAAGAGGUAUAAGUUGAGAGUGUUGAGAACUUUGUGCUCUAGUUCUAGUGUUUUUGAGAGUUUGGGUGUACGAGGGUUUUGGGUUGUGAGACAAAAAUACUAUCAUACUUGUAACUCCUUUUCACUAGUAAAAUAUUUCCUUCUAUCUUCGCAUGUGGAUGUAGGCUAAAAGCCGAACUACGUAAAUUCUGGUGUUCCUGUAUGAUCAUUAUUUUUUUAAUUUUACUUUAGUUACGUGUCUGCUUCACCUGUUGAAUUUUCCCAACAAGUUGUAUCAGAGCCAUUGGUUGCAUUUUUUUGCAGUCAGAUUUCACGUAUGCAAUAUUAUUCACGUAUACGGCACUAUUCACACGAAACGAUGAGAGCAAUCUAAGAAUUCUACGGUGCAAGGCAGGGAAUAGUGAUGUGAGUGAAAGUAAUUGUGUGGUCUUGUACAUAUCUAGGAAAGUUCUGUCAUAACGGCAAUACGAGUUUAAGGAGUUUGGAUUUUAAGUGGGAUCGUUGUGACCCCUCUAGUCUUUCCUAGGAACUUUCCUGAUGUGCAUUUUCACAUGUGUGAUUACUCAUAACUAUUCAAGGAGGUACACGAACUUGUGUGCGGUAUUACCAAAAUGACAACAAAGUUUGAAAUUAAAAAGUUCAACGGGAGCAAUUUCUCGUUAUGGAAAAUGAAGAUGCGGGCAAUCUUGAGGAAAAACAAUUGCUUAAAAGCAAGUAUUUUAAGGCCUGAAAAAAUCACUGGUGACAAGUGGAAUGAAUGGACAACAAUGCAAUUGUUGAUUUACACCUGGCACUCAGAUGGGGUGUUAUCUAGUGUAGCAGAACAAUUAUUUUAAGGCCUGAAAAAAUCACUGGUGACAAGUGGAAUGAAUGGACAACAAUGCAAUUGUUGAUUUACACCUGGCACUCAGAUGGGGUGUUAUCUAGUGUAGCAAAGGAAAAGACAAUGAAAGGUAUUUGUGAUACUUUUACAAAAUUGUACGAGAUUAAGUCGCUACACAACAAAAUCUUCUUAAAGAGAAGACUCUAUACUCUUCGAAAGGGGGAAACCACAAUGGCGACCGAUCAUAUCAACACUCUUAAAACUCUAUUUUCACAACUUACGAUGUUUGGCAUAAAAUAAAAGAAAUUGAACAUGCAGAGCUUCUACUUCAAAGUUUACCUGACUCGUAUAAUCAACUUGACGAACAAUAUCCUUACGGAGUACCUAGUCUUGAGGAAAAAUAAUUGCCUAAAAGCAAUUAGGGAAAGACCUGCAAAAAUCACUGGUGAGAAAUGGAAUGAAUUGACAACAAUGCAAUUGUUGAUCUACUCCUAGGACUCAGAUGGGGUGUUAUCUAGUGUGGUGGAGGAAAAAACAGUGAAGGGUAUUUGGGAUACUCUAACAAAACUGUACGAGACCAAGUUACUACACAACAAUAUCUUCUUGAAGAGGAGACUCUAUACUUUUCGAAUGGCGGAAACCACAACGAUGACCGACCAUAUCAACACUCUUAAAACUCUAUUUUCACAACUUACGACGUUGGGCAUAAAAUAAAGGAAAUUGAACGUGCAAAGCUUAUACUUCAAAGUUUACCUAACUCGUAUGAUCAACUCAUCAUCAACUUUACGAGCAAUAUCUUUACGGAGUGCUUAGUUUUUGAUGAUGCUGCAGCCUCUCCAUUUUAAUAAGAGAGUAGGUGCAAGAACUAUGACGACAGGUAAGCAAGUUCGCUGUAAGCAGAAGCACUAACGAUGGUGAAAGGGAGAUUAGCGGAACGUGGUCCUAGUAGGAGUCACAAUCAUUGUAGAUCAAAGUCAAGAAGUAAGAAGAAAAUCAGAUGCUACAAAUGUGCCAAAAUAGGACAUGUCAAGAAAGAGUAUUAGAGUUAACAGAAGAGAAGAGAGGGUAAAGAUCCUGAGUCAUCAAAUACUUAGGGGUGUGUAGUAAGUACCUCAGAUGAUGGUGACAUUUUAUACAACGAGGCAAUUAUGGUUGAAGAAAGCAGAAAAAAACUAUCUGACGUCUGGCUUAUAGACUCAAGAGCUACUGGCACAUGACCUCUCGAAGAGAAUAGUUCCACAAAUAUAAUCCUAUCUUAGGAGGAUCUGUAUGUAUGGGUGAUGAUCAUACCUUGGAGAUUGCUAGUGUUGGUUCUAUCAAAAUAAAAAUGUUUGAUGGUAUAGUUUGCACUAUUAAGGAGGUAUGUCAUAUCAAAGGCAUGAAAAAAAAAUCUAUUGUCUUUAGGACAAAUAGACAGUCUUGGUUGUAAAACUUAGGUGGAAAAUGGGAUCACGAAGAUUGUCGGAAGUACGUUUGUAUUGCUGAAGGCGGAAAGAUCAGUGCUAAUUUAUUCAUGCUUAAAGGGGAAACACUGCAAGAAGAUAAUGCUCGUGUUGCGUCAAAGAGAGAAUAAUUGGCGAUGAUGUAGCAUCUUAAACUUGGCUACAUGUCGAAACAAGGUUUGAAGAUUCUCUUUGGGCAGAAGUUGCUUUCAAGGCUUAAAUAGGUAAACUUAUCGCUUUGUGAGCAUUGUGUUACAAGUAGGCAACAUAGAUUAAAGUUCACCAGAUCUGACACCAUAACUAAAUGCAUUCUAGAUUUGGUUCAUUCUGAUGUUUGGGAAUUGCCGGAUAAGUCCUUGGGAGGUUCAAAGUACGUGGUGAUUUUCAUUGAUGAAUAGUCCAGGCGAUGUUAGGAGUAUCGAAUCAAGAAAAAGUCAGAUGCAUUUCCAGUGUUGAAAGAAUACAAAGCGCAAGUCGAACCAAAGUGGAAGUUGAGAGAAAUUUUAUAUUAUUAGCAUUGUUGAUUUUUGGGCAUUGCCUGACCUAUAAAUAGUGGCUUCAUUUACCCUCCAAUCAUGCCAUUUUCCCCAAUUCAAGUGAGAGUGCCAAGAGGCGCAAGUUGAGAGUGUUGAGAGCUUUGAGCUCUAGUUCUAUUGUUUUUUUAGAGUUUGGGUAUAUUGGGGUUUUGGGUUAUGAGACAAAACACUACAACACUUGUAACUCCUUUUCACUAGUAAAAUAUUUCUUUCUGCCCUUGCCCAUAGACGUAGGCUAAAAGUUUAACCACGUAAAUUUUGGUGUCCCUAUAUGAUCAUUAUUUUUCAAUUUCAUUUUAAUUGCGUGUCUACUUCACCCACACGAUUUUUCCCAACAAAAAGCUCAAAUCAGGAUAAUCAAAUGCACAUGUGUGUACUUAAAAAAAUCAGACACAAAAAUCACGUGUCAAGUGCUAGAACUUGAGCCUAAAAUAAUUAAUUUCAUUUUAUUAUUACUUUGUUUUUUAAUAUUAAUACUAGCUAGUUUUAUAUAAUUCACUUUUGCUCCUUUUUUCAUGUUCCUUGUUAGAAUUGAUCAAUUGAGUUACUAACUUCUGUCCUUAUCUGGUAUCAAUGUAAGCUCUUUCUAUAAUUUAUUCAUUUUUUUUGUAACUCUCUCUGUAAUUUAAUCAUUUUUUUUAUGGACCUUGUGUAAUGGGGAUAUUUCGUCUCAAAUGAGAAUAUUUAUUCUGCAAAAAACCAUUUACAAAAGUUGUCAAUGUAGUUCAGGAUGGAUUAGUUUCAUAUUAAACAUUAGUGACAGCUGUAGUCUAAAAGUCGCGUAAACAUUCCUAUUUUGGGCACGUAGCUCUUCACGGUUUGUUGUUGGACAAAAUCAUAACCGACUAUGUGGUCAAAGGGAGCAAAUAAAUCUGAUUUUUCUCCCCUUAAUGAUCAGAUAAAGGGUCGUCCUAGUUUAUUUUACUAAAAUAUCACUGUCGCUGCGGUGCUGAAGUUUGUUUAGGUGUUUCUAGCUUCGAAUGCUGAAACGUUCGGCAAUACACAAAACAAAAAGAUGUCUCUUUAAUUUAUUUUGCUGUACAUUUUAAACUCAUAAAAAAUUAAAUACCAAUUUAAUCGAUGUGACACAGCAAUCAUCAUCAUUUUAAACCUUAGACAAGGAGACAGUGCCCUAGUUCAUUUUACGUAUAUAUAUAUAUAUAUAUAUAUCAAUGCUGCUGCGAUGCUGAUGUUUGUUUAGUGAACGUAGAGCUUGAACCCUGCAGAGAUAUGAAAUGUCUCUUUUAUUUUGCUAUACGUUUUCGACUAAAGUCAAAAUGAAGAUAAAAUGUAAUAUAUGUCAUAGAGCACAUAAAAUCAGAAACCUCAAAUCAGACUGCUAAACCUAAAAGUACAAUAAAUAUCACUCAAUAGAUUAUGUAAAAAUGAAUACAACAGUACUCCUGUGGAGCCGAGCUCAUCGCGAGUCGUAUCCCAGACUUAAAAACAAUAACAAAAAACUCCUCAAGAGUGAAAACACACAAAUUUGGAAAGUCUCAAAACAAGAACCAACAAAUAUAAUUUAUUAGUAUACAUCCAGAUGAAGCUCGAGAAAGCAUUUGGAGAAGAUGAAAUUUAAGGAUUGGUGGUCGAGUGAGUUGGGAUCUCCUUGGGAAGACUCGGGAUGGCGGGAAAUGUGGGCUUAGGAAGCUCAGGUAGAUGAGGCAGAGAAGGCAAUUCGGGCUCUUUCGGCACCUCAGGCACUUUGGGCAACUCAGGCUUUGGAAGUUCAGGUACUUCGGGCUCUUUUGGCAGCUCAGGCACUUUGGGCAACUCAGGCUUCGGAUGUUCAGGUACUUCGGGCUCUUUUGGCACCUCAGGCACUUUGGGCAACUCAGGCUUCGGAUGUUCAGGUACUUCGGGCUCUUUUGGCACCUCAGGCACUUUGGGCAACUCAGGCUUCGGAUGUUCAGGUACUUCGGGCUCUUUUGGCACCUCAGGCACUUUGGGCAACUCAGGCUUCGGAUGUUCAGGUACUUCGGGCUCUUUUGGCACCUCAGGCACUUUGGGCAACUCAGGCUUCGGAUGUUCAGGUACUUCGGGCUCUUUUGGCACCUCAGGCACUUUGGGCAACUCAGGCUUCGGAUGUUCAGGUACUUCGGGCUCUUUUGGCACCUCAGGCACUUUGGGCAACUCAGGCUUCGGAUGUUCAGGUACUUCGGGCUCUUUUGGCACCUCAGGCACUUUGGGCAACUCAGGCUUCGGAUGUUCAGGUACUUCGGGCUCUUUUGGCACCUCAGGCACUUUGGGCAACUCAGGCUUCGGAUGUUCAGGUACUUCGGGCUCUUUUGGCACCUCAAGCACUUUGGGCAACUCAGGCUUUGGAAGUUCAGGUACUUCAGGCUCUUUUGGCACCUCAGGUUUCGGAAUCUCUGGCAAUUCAGGUUCUUUUGGCAACUCAGGCUUUGGAAUCUCUGGUAAUUCAGGUUUUCUAGGUAGCUCAGGCUUUGGAAUCUCAGGUAAUUCAGGCUUUGGAAUUUGUGGUAGUUCAGGUUUUGGUAACGGUGGCAAUUCAACCUUAGGCAAUUCAGGCUUGGGUAUUUCUGGAACUGUUGCCUCUAGAAGAUGGCGAGCAGCGAUCAAAUCAAUGUUAAAGCUCAUUGACGAUAAAGCGAUUAGCAAAAGUGGUAGCAUAACGGAUGAGAAAGAGAAGGAUGCCAUGGUUGAACUAUUGCCGAAUAAGGCUAUAAGAGAUGAAACAUAUAUUGUGUUGCGGUAAUAACAAUCAAAAGAGAAGGGAUCAAAUGUGUUUAUGCAUUGAUUUCAUGUUUUAUGAGGCUUUUAUAGGUGUGGCGAAGCGUAGAAUAGAGGGUUUCAAGAUUGGGUAGGUAUGACUAAAAUAGUAAAAUAUAAAUAAAUUAAGCUUGGGUUGGUACUUGGUAAGAAAUUUAUGUCUUGUUAGUUCAUCAACCUCUCACUUCUGCUAAUUCCACGUACGUCAUAACGAUUAUAUAUCAUUGUAUAAUAUGUUAUAUAAGCAAUUAUAUUGCAAUUAAUUGUUAUAUUAAGGGAUUAUUCAUUAUCUUUUCAUAUAUCCCCUGUGAAAAAAAAGAAGGUAAAUGGUUAAAAUAAUAACCUCUGAAUGAUUAUUUUAUUCAAUACUUUUCUGCAAAUUAUUUAAGAUUAUUGAAGCCAGUUCCUAUGGUAAGGAACGGCCUUUCUAAGGCUCAAACCUUGAGUUCGAAUUUUAAUGUAUGCCUGAGUUAAUAAUAAAAAAAAAUUAACAUUAUUUUAUAACUUUGUGGUCAUAUAUGUCAUAAAACACCUAAUGACAUAAGCUUCCCUUCUCGAAAACACACUAAUACGUAAUUGAAUUUCAUUUCCUAAUGGAUGUUAACAGCGACAUGCCGUUUCUCUUAUUCCCAUCUUUUCCUCUUCAAUUAAUUUAUCAGAUUGUCUUCUCCUUGUAUUUGAAUGCUACAAGAAAGAAGAUUGAACGCUCUAUGAUUGAGAUUUUAAGCCAGAUUAACUAUUUGUUGUGGUUGGAAGCACAUAUUAUCCAUUACGCAUUGGUUAUUUUCAAACGUUGUCGUGGUUGGUCAAAUGUGUCUUAUCAAUAUUAAUCAUGAACAAGUCAAAAGCAUAUUUACGUACGAAUCAACGUCGUGUCAUUUGAUCAUAUUUUAUGUAAGAUCUCCUGUUUGUUGGCCACAAUUUUGAUAUGUAGUACUUGGGGCACCAUCUUUUCGCCAAUAAUCUUAACGAAUUAUGUAAAAGUCAAUUACCAAUUUAUAUUUACUCAGGUAAAAGUGUUGAACAUAUGUAUGCAUGUGGCAAACAAUUGCAUGUGGCUAGCAUGCAACUUUUGACUCUCGUCAUAAAAUUAUUGAGUAAGUGGGAGACAUGAGUAAGUGAGAGUAAUAUAGCUUUUGACUCUGGCACCAAAGUAGAAGGUUCAGAGAAAAUUUACAUUAUUUUAAUGCCCACCAUCCUUGAUUUUUAGACAUUACCUGGCCUAUAAAUAAAGGCUUCAUUUGCCCUCUUGAAUCAUCUCAUUUUCUCUGGUGAGAGUGAGAGUGCCAAGAGGUGUAAGUUGAGAGUGUUGAGAGCUUUGUACUCUAGUUCUAGUGUUUUUCAGAGUUUUAGUGUACUGGAGUUUUGGGUUGUGAGACAAAAAUACUAUAAUACUUGUAACUCAUUUUUACUAGCAAAAUAUUUCCUUCUGUUUUCGCAUGUGGACGUAGGCUAAAAACUGAACUAUGUAAAUUCUGGUGUUGUUGUAUGAUAAUUAUUUUUCAAUUUCACUUUAGUUGUGUGUCUACUCACCCGCUGAAUUUUCCCAACAAGUGGUAUCAGAGCCAUUGGUUGCAAAUCUUUGGAGUCGGGUAUUGUUCACGUAUACGAUACUAUUCACAUAUACAAUACUAUUCACGUUUACGGCAUUAUUCACAUGAAACGAUGGGAGCGAUCCAAGAAUUCUGCGGUACAAAGUAGGGAAUAGUGAUGUGAGUGAAAGUAAUUGUGUGGUCUUGUACAUAUCUAGGAAAAUUCUGUCAUAAAGGCAAUAAGAGUUUAAGAAGUUUGGAUUUUAAGUGGGAUCAUUGUGACCCCUCCAGUCUCUCUUGGGAACUUUCGUAGUGUGCAUAUUCACACGUGUGAUCACUCAUAACUAUUCAAGGAGGUACACUAACUUGUGUGCGGUAUUAACAAAAUGACAGCAACGUUUGAAAUUAAGAAGUUCAACGGGAGCAAUUUCUCGUUAUGGAAAAUGAGGAUGCGGGCAAUCUUGAGGAAAAAUAAUUGCUUAAAAGUGAUUGGGGAAAGACCUGCAAAAAUCACUGGUAACAAGUGGAAUGAAUGGACAAUAAUGUAAUUGUUGAUCUACACCUGGCACUCAGAUGGGGUGUUAUCUAGUGUGGCAGAGGAAAAGACAGUGAAAGGUAUUUGGGAUACUCUCACAGAACUAUACGAGAUCAAGUCACUACACAACAAAAUCUUCUUGAAGAGGAGACUCUAUACUCUUCGAAUGGGGGAAACCACAACGGUGAUCGACCAUACCAACACUCUUAAAACUUUAUUUUCACAACUUAUGAUGUUUGGCAUAAAGUAGAGGAAAUUAAAUGUGCAGAGCUUCUACUUCAAAGUUUACCUGACUUAUAUAAUCAACUUGACGAACAAUAUCCUUACGGAGUACCUAGUCUUGAGGAAAAAUAAUUGCUUAAAAAUAAUUGGGGAAAGGCCUGCAAAAAUCACUGGUGACAAGUGGAAUGAAGUGACAGCAAUGCAAUUGUUGAUCUACACCUGGCACUCAGAUGGGGUGUUAUCUAGUGUGGCGGAGGAAAAGACAAUGAAAGGUAUUUGGGAUACUCUCACAAAAAUGUAUGAGGCCAAGUCACUACACAAUAAUAUCUUUUUGAAGAGGAGACUCUAUACUUUUCGAAUUGCGGAAACCAUAACGAUGAGCGACCAUAUCAACACUCUUAAAACUCUAUUUUCACAACUUACGACGUUGGGUAUAAAAUAGAAGAAAUUGAACGUGCAGAGCUUCUACUUUAAAGUUUACCUGACUCAUAUGAUCAACUCAUCAUCAACUUGAUGAACAAUAUCCUUAUGGAGUACUUAGUCUUCGAUGAUGUUACAGCCUCUGUAUUAGAAUAAGAGAGUAGGCGCAAAAACUAGGAAGACAGUUAAGCAAGUUCGCUGCAAGUGGAAGCGCAUGAUGAUGAGAGGGAGGUCAGUGAAACGUAGUCCUAGUAGGAGUCACAAUCAUGGUAGAUCAAAUUUAAGAAGUAAGAAGAAAAUCAGAUGCUACAAAUGUGGAAAAAUAUGGCAUGUCAAGAAAGAGUGUUGGAGUUACCAGUAGAAAGGAGAGGGUAAAGAUCCUAAGUCAUCAAAUACUUAGGGGUGUGUAGUAAGUACCUCAUAUGAUGAUGACGUUUUAUACAACGAGGCAGUUAUGGUUGCAGAAGGCAAAAAAAACUAUCUGACGUCUGGUUUAUAGACUCAAGAGCUACUGGCACAGGACCUCUUAGAGAGAAUAAUCCCACAAAUAUGAACCUAUCUUAGGAGAAUCGGUAUAUAUGGGUGAUAAUCAUACCUUGGAGAUUGCUAGUGUUGGUUCUAUCAAAAUAAAAAUAUUUGAUGGUAUAUUUGCACUAUUUAGGAGGUAUUGCAUGUCAAAUGUAUGAAAAAAAAUCUAUUGUCUUUAGGACAAAUAGAUAGUCUUGGCUAUAAAACUCAGGUGGAAAAUGGGAUCAUGAAGAUUGUCAGAAGUACGCUUGUAUUGAUGAAGGCAGAAAAUAUAUGUGCCAAUUUAUUCAUGCUUAAAGGGGAAACAUUGCAAGAAGCUACUGCUUGUGUUGCGUCAAAUAGAGAAGAAUCGACAAUGAUGUGCAUCUCAAACUUGGCCACAUGUGGAAACAAGGUUUGAAGAUUCUCUCUGGGAAAAAGUUGCUUCCAGGGCUUAAAUAGGUGAACUUAUCAUUUUGCGAGCACUGUGCUACAAGUAAGCAGCAUAGAUUAAAGUUUAGCAUAUCUGACAGCAUAAGUAAAUGCACUCUAGCAUAUCUGACAACAUAUGGACGUAUGCUAAAAGUCAAACCACAUAAAUUCUGGUGUCCCUGUAUGAUCAUUAUUUUUUUAUUUCAUUUAAAUUGCGUGUCUACUUCACCCACCCGAUUUUUCCCAACAAAAAGCUCAAAUCAGGAUAAUCAAAUGCACAUGUGUGUACUUCAAAAAAAUCAGACCAAAAAAUAUCACGUGUCAAGUGCUAGAACUUGAGCCUAAAAUAAUUCAUUUCAUUUUAUUACUUUGUUUUUGAAUAUUAAUACUAGCUAGUUUUAUAUAAUUCACUUUUGCUCCUUGUUUCUUGUUCCUUGUUAGAAUUGAUCAAUUGAGUUACUAACUUCUGUCCUUAUCUGGUUUUAAUGUAAGCUCUCUCUAUAAUUUAAUCAUUUUUUUUGUAACUCUCUCUGCAAAUUAAUCAAUUUUUUUAUGGACCUUGUGUAAUGGGGAUAUUUCGUCUCAAGUGAGAAUAUUUAUUCUGCAAAAAAACAUUUACAAAAGUUGUAAAUCUAGUUCAGGAUGGAUUAGUUUCAUAUUAAACAUUAGUGACAGCUCUAGUCUAAAAGUCACGUAAACAUUCCUAUUUUGGGCACGUAGCUCUUCACGGUUUGCUGUUCGACAAAAUCAUAACCGACUGUGUGGUCAAAGGGAGCAAAUAAAUCUGAUUUUUCUCCCCUUGAUGAUCAGAUAAAGGGUCGUCCUAGUUUAUUUUUCUAAAAUAUCACUGUCGCUGCGGUGCUGAAGUUCGUUUAGGUCUUUCUAGCUUCGAAUGCUGAAACGUUCGGCAAUACACAAAACAAAAAGUUGUCUCUUUAAUUUAUUUUUCUGUAUAUUUUAAAAUCACAAAAAAUUAAAUACCAAUUUAAUCGAUGUGACACAGCAAUCAUCAUUAUUUUAAAUUUCCUAUACAUUUUCGACUGACGUCAAAAUGAAGAUAAAAUGCAAUUACGUGAUAGAGCACAUAUAAAAUCAGAAACCUCAAAUCAGACUGCUAAACAUAAAAAUACAAUAUAUAUCACUCAAUUUAUUAUGUAGAAAUGAAUACAACAGUAGUCCUGCGUAGCCGAACUCAUCACGAGUCGUAUCCCAGAUUUAAAAACAAUAACAAAAAGAAUCCUCAAAAGGGAAAACACACAAAUUUGGAAAGUCUCAAAACAAGAAACAACAAAUAUAAUUUAUUGAUAUACAUCUGCAGAGAACCAGAUGAAGCUCGGGAAAGCAUUUGAAGAAAAUGGAAUUUAAGGAUUGGUGGUUGAGUGAGUUGGCAUCUCCUUGGGAAGACUCGGGAUGGGGGGAAAUGUCGGCUUAGGAAGCUCAGGUAGAUGGGGGAAAGAAGGCAAUUCAGGCGCCUUGGGCAACUCAGGCUUUGGAAGUUCAGGUACUUCGGGCUCCUUUGGCACCUCAGCCACUUUGGGCAACUCAGGCUUUGGAAGUUCAGGUACUUCGGGCUCUUUUGGCACCUCAGGCACUUUGGGCAACUCAGGCUUCGGAUGUUCAGGUACUUCGGGCUCUUUUGGCACCUCAGGCACUUUGGGCAACUCAGGCUUCGGAUGUUCAGGUACUUCGGGCUCUUUUGGCACCUCAGGCACUUUGGGCAACUCAGGCUUCGGAUGUUCAGGUACUUCGGGCUCUUUUGGCACCUCAGGCACUUUGGGCAACUCAGGCUUCGGAUGUUCAGGUACUUCGGGCUCUUUUGGCACCUCAGGCACUUUGGGCAACUCAGGCUUCGGAUGUUCAGGUACUUCGGGCUCUUUUGGCACCUCAGGCACUUUGGGCAACUCAGGCUUCGGAAGUUCAGGUACUUCAGGCUCUUUUGGCACCUCAGCUUUCGGAAUCUCUGGCAAUUCUGGUUCUUUUGGCAACUCAGGCUUUGGAAUCUCAGGUAAUUCAGGUUUCUUCGGUAGUUCUGGCUUUGGAAUCUCUGGUAAUUGAGGAUUUUUAGGAAGCUCAGGCUUUGGAAUCUCAGGUAAUUCAGGCUUUGGAAUUUGUGGUAUUUCAGGUUUUGGUAACGGUGGCAAUUCAACCUUAGGCAAUUCAGGCUUGGGGAUUUCUGGAACUGUUGCCUCUAGAAGAUGGCGAGCAGCGAUCAAAUCAAUGUUAAAGCUCAUUGACGAUAAAGCGAUUAGCAAAAGUGGUAGCAUAACGGAUGAGAAAGAGAAGGAUGCCAUUGUUGAUAUG